AACGAACGCUGGCGGCGUGGAUAAGACAUGCAAGUCGAACGGGACAGACCGAGUAGCAAUAUUUGGAAUGUUCAGUGGCGAACGGGUGCGUAACACGUGGAUAACAUUCCGGAAAGCGGGGAAUAGCCCAGGGAAACUUGGGUUAGUACCGCAUGUGGCCGCAAGGCUAAAGACGGGGACCGCAAGGCCUGUCACUUUCCGAUUGGUCCGCGGCCUAUCAGCUAGUUGGCGGGGUAAUGGCCCACCAAGGCUACGACGGGUAGCUGGUCUUAGAGGACGACCAGCCACACUGGAACUGAGACGCGGUCCAGACACCUACGGGUGGCAGCAGUCGAGAAUCUUUCGCAAUGGGGGCAACCCUGAUGGAGCGACGCCGCGUGGAGGAUAAGGUCUUCGGAUUGUAAACUCCUGUCAUGCGAGAACAAGGUACUCAGGCUAAUAACCUGAUUGUUUGAUGGUACCGCAAGAGGAAGAGACGGCUAACUCUGUGCCAGCCGCCGCAGUAACAC
rnacentral:rRNA from 1 species